AUUGAACGCUGGCGGCAGGCCUAACACAUGCAAGUCGAGCGAGCGGCGGACGGGUGAGUAAUGUCUGGGAAACUGCCUGAUGGAGGGGGAUAACUCCUGGAAACGGUAGCUAAUACCGCAUACCAUCAGAUGUGCCCAGAUGGGAUGAGCUAGUAGGUGGGGUAACGGCUCACCGAGGCGACGGUCCCUAGCUGAUCUGAGAGGAUGACCAGGCACACGGGAACUGAGACACGGUCCAGACUCCUACGGGGGGCAGCGGUGGGAAGUAUUGCACAGUGGUCGGGAGCCUGAUGCAGCGACGCCGCGUGGGGGAUGAAGGCCUUCGGGUUGUAAACUCCUUUAGACAGGGACGCGGUACCUGUAUAAGAAGCACCGGCUAACUACGUGCCAGCAGCCGCGGUAAUUC
rnacentral:rRNA from 1 species